UGUUUAUACGGUAAACCACGUUUAACACCCAAUUUUUGUUUGGCGCUUUUUGUCUUUCUUUUAUUCUGCCUUCUAUUAUUGUGAUUAUUAACUUUCAUUGUUGUUUACCUAAAUUUGCCACAAAAUAAACAAAUUAACUGUCAUUGUGAAUCAUGUAAUCGCUGAUCCAUAAUUCCGGACACAACGUCAAGGCCUCAACAUUAUUGUACACAAUUUUUUAUUUGGUUAACUGGACAAUAGCUCUUUGUUUCAAUGCUACAAUAUUUUUCCUUUACCCGUCAUUUUGGUUGACCUUUUAUGGGUAAAUUAAUUACGUGUGUAAUAUAAAAACUCGUACUUAGGUAUGCAAAGCUAUAAACUUGUUGGAAGUUAAUUAAGCUUCUGUGGAUUUUUUGGUACACAAAGCUGUGGAGGAUAUUUGGGUCAAUAUUUUUGGUAAAUAGGUUAACCCCAAACAGUUGAUGGCCAUUACAUAGAGACGACGUCACCAGGAAAUAAAUUGAUGAGCUGUCCUGACCUUCUUUGACCUCGUUGCCGCUUCGCCCUAUGACCUGAACCAUUAACAUUAGAUUGACUCCUAGUUGUAUCAACAUGACAACCAUUGGAUGUUUUAGCUGCUUCUGGUUCAUGAAAGCAUUAAAUUGUGAACAAGAAUUUUACUCGACUCUUGCAGCUUCUACAGAUACAAUAACCAUUUGAUGUUAGGUCAUUAUAUCCAUCAUUAUCAAGGUUACUUCAUGUGCAACCUUUUUUACCUUUAAUGCAUUGCCAUGUACUCUGUUGUCAAAAAUGUUGUUAGAUUGACCUUAUAUUGCUACAAUCAGGCCACACUCAACCUAUGGUGAUCUGAAUCAUUAUUGAAAGCAGCUUAAUCAUUGCCUUUUUGCAUGGUUCAAGGAGUAACAUUUUACUGUUAAGCUUGAUUUAUUUUUUGCAACAGCAUUAACAAUCUGCUGUCAAACAUCAUAAAGAAUUACUAUUCAAUUUCAUAAUUUUUAUAUCCUAAAGCUGCUUAAUUUUGUUAACAAUUUAAAACAAUCAGACAUCAAUUCAAAUUAGUUUAGUAGGUUAGGUUGACAACAAUUUGCUUACAAGAAAUCAAUUUUUUAGCACAAACUGAGAGAUUAUUUGUACGACAAAGGCUUAGUGAUAAAUCAGUAAAGAAUGAGUUGAACUGUUAUUGCAUGUAUUAACAAGAAAGGAUUAAAUCAAAUGAAAUUGAUUGAUUAAUCUUUUGAUGGGUGAUUAGAGUUUGACUAACCUUUCAACUUGCGAAUUUCAACAUUUCCUAAAUCAUUUACGAAGAAAUCGAGAAAUUUUAAGCCAAUUUAAUUAUAAGAUUAAUGUAAUUAAAUGUUAACUGUUUGUUUGCUUAAACCAAAUUUUUAAUUCCUUUAUGCAGCUUUUUUCAGAAAAUUAGUGAAUAAUAGUUAAAUUUUACAUGUUAAUACUCGAAAUAAAUAUCAACUAAUCCUCUUUUAA